UUGAACGCUGGCGGCAUGCUUUACACAUGCAAGUCGAACGGCAGCACGGGGGCAACCCUGGUGGCGAGUGGCGAACGGGUGAGUAAUAUAUCGGAACAUGUCCGGAAGUGGGGGAUAACGUAUCGAAAGGUACGCUAAUACCGCAUACGCCCUGAGGGGGAAAGGAGGGGAUCGCAAGACCUUUCGCUUUCGGAGCGGCCGAUAUCAGAUUAGCUAGUUGGUGAGGUAAAGGCUCACCAAGGCGACGAUCUGUAGCUGGUCUGAGAGGACGACCAGCCACACUGGGACUGAGACACGGCCCAGACUCCUACGGGAGGCAGCAGUGGGGAAUUUUGGACAAUGGGGGCAACCCUGAUCCAGCCAUGCCGCGUGAGUGAAGAAGGCCUUCGGGUUGUAAAGCUCUUUCAGCAGGAAAGAAAUCGUG
rnacentral:rRNA from 1 species